AGUACUCUGUGCAUUUGUGUUUGUUUAGCUGGUGGACAAAGGCAUGAAAGACAGGUGCAAAAAUAAAACCUCCUUUGUAACCCAGAACCCGUUGUUCAGUAUGAGUUUUAAUUCACGCAUGAAGGAAUACG
rnacentral:snoRNA from 1 species